rnacentral:lncRNA from 13 species
CAUUUUUCUUGGCCAAGGACUCAUUAGAAGACAGGAUUAGAGGCUGGGCGUGGUGGCUCACAUCUGUAAUCUCAGCACUUUGGGAGCCCAUGGUGGGCAGAUCACCUGAGAUCAGGAGUUCGAGACCAGCCUGGCCAACAGAGUGAAACCCCGUUUCUACUAAAAAAAUAAAAAUUAGCUGAGUGUGGUGGUACAUGCCUGUAAUCCCAGCUACUCAGGAGGCUGAGGCAGGAGAAUCACUUGAACCUGGGAGGUGGAGGUUGCAGUGAGCCGAGCUCAUGCCACUACACUUCAGCCUGGGCCACAAGCACAAAACUCUGUUUCAAAAAAAAAAAAAGAAGAAGAAGGGCUUAGACAUAGUGAAACUAGAGACAGGGAGGACAGUCUGGCAGUGAGAAAGGGAACGGUAGAUACUACUCCAAUCUGCAGAUGCAUUGUGCAGUGGAGGUUUAAGCUAUGCCAAAGGCAAAAAGAAAGCUGGAAACUGUGGGGCUGGCAGGGCUCAAUGAAGAACUUUAUCUGGAUUUCAUUCACAAACAGCAGCUCCCUCCUCGGGAAAGGACCUGUGUGUCUCCCCAGAUCGGAACUGGAGAAGUGAAAUCUCUGUCACUAGAGAGAACUGUAGUG